AUGAGUAAGCCCCUUGGUCCCAGAAACAGAGGGCUAUCCACUUACGAGAAGGAAUGCAUGGCGAUUCUCAUGACUAUCGAGCAGUGGCGCCCCUACCUGCAGAAUGAAGAGUUUAUAAUACGAACAAAUCAGCGAAGCCUGGUCCACCUCGACGACCAAUAUCUCUCUACACCAUGGCAACAGAAAGCAUUUACUAAGCUUCUCGGCCUGCGCUACAAGAUUUGCUAUCGUCCAGGCGCUACGAACUCAGCCGCUGAUGCGCUGUCGUGA
rnacentral:rRNA from 1 species